rnacentral:rRNA from 1 species
AGAGUUUGAUCCUGGCUCAGAUUGAACGCUGGCGGCAUGCCUUACACAUGCAAGUCGAACGGUAACAGGGAGCUUGCUCCGCUGACGAGUGGCGAACGGGUGAGUAAUAUAUCGGAACGUGCCUGGUAAUGGGGGACAACUAGUCGAAAGAUUAGCUAAUACCGCAUACGCCCUACGGGGGAAAGAGGGGGAUUCGCAAGAACCUCUCGUUAUCAGAGCGGCCGAUAUCUGAUUAGCUAGUUGGUGAGGUAAAGGCUCACCAAGGCUUCGAUCAGUAGCUGGUCUGAGAGGACGACCAGCCACACUGGGACUGAGACACGGCCCAGACUCCUACGGGAGGCAGCAGUGGGGAAUUUUGGACAAUGGGCGCAAGCCUGAUCCAGCAAUGCCGCGUGAGUGAAGAAGGCCUUCGGGUUGUAAAGCUCUUUUGUCAGGGAAGAAACGGUCUUGGUUUAAUACCUGGGGCUAAUGAC